UGAAAAAGAAAACCUUCAGCUGAUAAAAGCAGGAACAGCUUCAACUGAUGCUGAAUGUGGAGAAAAAAGUUCCAGCACCAUAGGAAUUGUGAUCGGAGUUCUGAUGAUUUUUUUAGGUGCAGCAACAAUUGGUGGUGGUGUUUUUCUCUGGAAAUAUCACAAAAAUACACAACCAAACAGUUCUACAAACCAACUACGAGGGGGCAAAGCAGGAGGAGCAGAAGAGGAAGUCGCUUUCAAUAUGCCAGUGCAUGAAACCCCAAGAUAAACACCUGGAUGACAAUCACUGAUUACUGUAGAUCAAAUGAUUCAGGGUCUGAGUUGAACCAAACUAGAUACUGAGUCGUUGUUUUUACAGUGAUCAGAAAGAACAGCUAAAACUCAAACUCCCUUCUCCACCAUCCAUGGUCGUCACUCUACAUCCAUCACACUGUACAGGAGAAAAAGUUGUAGAACUUGACUGUUUAUUGCCAAAGUAUCAGAUCUGUGACUGUAACCCUGAAUGAUUAGAUUAGGUAAUAGACAAUAACUGGCUUGUACUUGUACAGCACUUUAUCAAGAUCAGAGGACA